UACAGAGGGUGCAAACGUUGCUCGGAAUUAUUGGGCGUAAGGCGCGUGUAGGCGGCUUGUUAAGUUGGUUGUGAAAACCCAUGGCUCAACCAUGGAAGGGCGUCCAAAACUGGCAAGCUAGAGUCCCGACGAGGAUGGCGGAAUUCCCAGUGUAGAGGUGAAAUUCGUAGAUAUUAGGAAGAACACCGGUGGCGAAGGCGGCCCACUGGUCCGGUACUGACGCUGAGGUGCGAAAGCGUGGGGAGCAAACAGG
rnacentral:rRNA from 1 species